rfam:Aspergillus lentulus DNA, contig: Alt16, strain: IFM 54703.
CUAUAUGAUGAACACGUUAUUCACACUGUUUGAUCUGGGCGCUCACGCGUUCUGGAAAUGAACAUCAUACACAAAAAAUCUGAUUUAAUGAGGUUAGUA